GGCGCCUUACCUGGAAACAGCUGGUCCAGAUCCUGAACCUCUGCGGGUCGGGCGGGCGGCCAGCCUCCCCCUGCAGACUCCUGUCCCAGAGAGUCACAUGGAAGACUUCCUCACGGCAUUCAGGGCUCGGCGCCAAUGUCACCCCUCAGCAAAGCUCUCUCUGCGCGCUUCCCAUCUACGGCAAGCUGCACGCCUCCUCCCUCACGGACUGGCUGUGUCACUACCCUGGCGCUGUCUUCCUGGAACCUCACACCAUCCGCCGUGAUCGGGUUUGGUCACGUGUGCUUCUGGCCGUCGGCCGCCUCCCAGGCCCACUGGCCUGCAGAGGCACCAGCCCAGCACCGGGGGCUGCAAACCCCAGUUCCAGGAGCCCCAGAGGCCCCCACAGGAACCCCCGGGGGUAAGUGCACCCUGGGACGCAGACUUGGAUGUUGGGUGAGGAACGGGGAAG